rnacentral:tRNA from 1 species
GGGGUUGUAGCUCAGUGGUAGAGUGCUUGCCUUGCAUGCAUGAGGCCCUGGGUUUCGUCCCCAGCACCACA